rnacentral:tRNA from 1 species
GGGUGUAGCUCAGUGGUAGAGUGCUUGCCUAGCAUGUAUGAGGCACUGGGUUCAAUUCUCAGCAUUACA